rnacentral:tRNA from 1 species
AGUUAAUUAAUUUAGUUAAAAUAUUUAUUUUGAAAAUAAAAAAAAGAAUUUAAUUCUAUUAACUU